CGCGUAGGUGGUUUGAUAAGGGUGUGGUGAAAGCCCGGGGCUCAACCCCGGGUCGGCCGUGCCGACUGUCAGACUGGAGUACCGUAGGGGCAGGCGGAAUUCCGGGUGUAGCGGUGGAAUGCGUAGAGAUCUGGAGGAAGACCGGUGGCGAAGGCGGCCUGCUGGGCAGUUACUGACACUGAGGCGCGACGGCGUGGGGAGCAAACA
rnacentral:rRNA from 1 species